UUAAUGGUGCCGUGGAGUCAUCCCUUCCGUUGUUGUUUAUUGAUUGUUAAACAUGGCUUCAUUUGCAAAGGUGGUUGUGUGUGUCCUCAUUGCUUGUGUCUGUAAUGCAUUCGGUUUUCCGAAGAGAGAUGUGAACUUUAAGGCCUCUGCAGUUGACCGCCAAAGUGAUGAUGUGGUUGUCACCACAACACCCGUUCCCCACAACCAGACCACCUCUGCCCCUACUGAAGCUGGUGGUGGAGCAAGUGAAGAUGCUGUGGCUACUACCCCAGCACCUAAUCCACACAACCAGACAACUUCUGCACAAACUGAAGUUACUGAUGAAGCCAGUGAAGAUGCUGUGGACCGCCAAAGUGAUGUGGUUUCCACCACAACACCCAAUCCCCACAACCAGACCACAUCUGCCCCUACUGAAGCUGGUGAUGGAGCAAGUGAAGAUGCUGUGGCUACCACCCCAACACCAAAUCCCCCAACUACAUCUCACCACACUGCAGCUACCGAUGAUGCAAGUGAGGGUGCUGUGGCUGCCUAAACUGGAACUACUGUAUCCCAUACGACUGAAGUCUGAUUCGACUGCUCCUCUGGUCACAAUAACCUGUCUGGACUUUUUGCCUCUACAUGUUGACUGCAAUAAAGGACAGAUUUUGUAUUUUUUUUAAUCAAAUGUUGUCUUGCCUUUUUCAAAUUGAGGCCUUGUCCUGUUUUGGUAGUGGAGAUGACUAUGAAGCCUCUUUUCUAACGUAUUUCCUGUAGUGGUUUUACUAUAUGCUUCAUGCAACAAGGCCUUCAACGACUCUACAAUUUAAAAGCAUCUAGUUGUCUGAAUUUGUAAAAUGGUUGAACUGGUAGUGAUGCACUAUAAUGGUGAACUGCUUGUGGCAUUUCAAUAAUCUCUACUGUACUGUUUGACAUGUACAUCUCAAGUGAAUUUGCGUGGUAAUUGGUAAACUGAUGUCCGUCCCUACUAAGGGAGUACUGGCCUUAGUAGGCUAACGCCCUCAAUGUAACGGCUAUAUAAAUGGCAUACAGUGUAUGUACUUAACUUUUUAACACAGCGCUGAAUAUACCAUUACAUACUUGUGGUAUCUAUUUGUGGAAGCCUACCUUUACUAUAUCACAACUAGUUUGCUCUGCAUUAUAUAUUAGCAAAUCUGCUGUAAGUAAGGAAAAAUGAAAGACAUGAAGUGUAACAUAUUUACCAAAAAACACCUGCUUUCUUCUCACGUAAGAACAGAUCUGGCCCUGAUCUAGCAUGAAGCCGUCCCAGAUAUUGUUCCGGUAUGGGGCUGCCGCAUCAGCACACAGCCAUUUAGUGAUCUUGUUAGCAAUAGAUGCUCACAUGUGGCGUACCAAACACACUGUACUUCUCUUCAUGAACAAUCAAGCUGGCCAAGCCAUGUUUGAUAGUCAUGGCUCAUGAAUGGAUGGAGGAAUGAGUGAAUAAAUGAAUGUUUAUUUUGCA
rnacentral:lncRNA from 1 species